AUUACGUCUCAGCUUUUUGGCUAAAAUCAAGUGUAGUAUCUGUUCUUAUCAGCUUAAAAGAUCUUUGCAUUCCUAGGUUAAGCCACGCAUGGUCAUCAUGUGUUUUUUUAAUGCAUGUUUGAUUUUUC
ensembl:snRNA U2 U2 spliceosomal RNA